rnacentral:rRNA from 1 species
UGGGGAAUAUUGCGCAAUGGGGGGAACCCUGACGCAGCCAUGCCGCGUGAAUGAAGAAGGCCUUCGGGUUGUAAAGUUCUUUCGGUAUUGAGGAAGGUUGAUGUGAUAAUAGCACAUCAAAUUGACGUUAAAUACAGAAGAAGCACCGGCUAACUCCGUGCCAGCAGCCGCGGUAAUACGGAGGGUGCGAGCGUUAAUCGGAAUAACUGGGCGUAAAGGGCACGCAGGCGGUUAUUUAAGUGAGGUGUGAAAGCCCUGGGCUUAACCUAGGAAUUGCAUUUCAGACUGGGUAACUAGAGUACUUUAGGGAGGGGGUAGAAUUCCACGUGUAGCGGUGAAAUGCGUAGAGAUGUGGAGGAAUACCGAAGGCGAAGGCAGCCCCUUGGGAAUGUACUGACGCUCAUGUGCGAAAGCGUGGGGAGCAAACAGGAUUAGAUACCCUGGUAGUCCACGCUGUAAACGCUGUCGAUUUGGGGGUUGGGGUUUAACUCUGGCGCCCGUAGCUAACGUGAUAAAUCGACCGCCUGGGGAGUACGGCCGCAAGGUUA